rnacentral:rRNA from 1 species
AGUGAACGCUGGCGGCAGGCCUAAUACAUGCAAGUCGAACGGCAGCACGGCAGAGCUUGCUCUGUGGGUGGCGAGUGGCGGACGGGUGAGGAAUACAUGGGAAUCUGCCCAGUCGUGGGGGAUAACGUAGGGAAACUUACGCUAAUACCGCAUGCGCCCUUCGGGGGAAAGUCGGGGACCUUCGGGCCUGGCGCGAUUGGAUGAGCCCAUGUCGGAUUAGCUAGUUGGCGGGGUAAUGGCCCACCAAGGCGACGAUCCGUAGCUGGUCUGAGAGGAUGAUCAGCCACACUGGAACUGAGACACGGUCCAGACUCCUACGGGAGGCAGCAGUAGGGAAUAUUGGACAAUGGGCGCAAGCCUGAUCCAGCCAUGCCGCGUGAGUGAAGAAGGCCCUCGGGUUGUAAAGCUCUUUUGUCCGGAAAGAAAAGCGCCGGGUUAAUACCCUGGUGUCCUGACGGUACCGGAAGAAUAAGCACCGGCUAACUUCGUG